rfam:Triticum aestivum genome assembly, contig: Triticum_aestivum_CS42_TGACv1_scaffold_178022_2DS
GGUUUCGUGGUGUAGUUGGUAAUCACGUCAGACAUAACAUCUGCAAGGUCCCCGGUUCAAAUCCGGGCGAAGCCA